CAGAGCUGAGACACUCAGGACUGAACAGACUGCACAGUUUCUGUGACCGAGCCUCCAAAACAUCUUCUUUGAAACCACACAUGAUAGAAGGGCUUUAUAUUUGCAGCAGCACUACUAAAGUUGGCAGGAAUGUUGCUGCAGGAAAACAUCCCUGGAGAUCACCAUCAUUGCCAGACUGACUGUGCCUCCUCUGUGCAGUGUCAAGAUCCUCCCUAAAUGAGUGUUCCUCAGCUAUCCUGCUUCUGUGCUGCUUGCCACACAUCAAACACUGGCCGGAUGACAGGGAGGAUCCACUCUGAAGUCACUGGACAUGAUGAGGAUCAUAUGGGACUUUAUAGUUUCACAGAAACGUUGUGCUCUUUGAUUACAGGUUUUAAAUGGACAUAAUGACUGCCUCUCUCUGAUCAACAGGCUAAAGGAUUGUUUUCAUUGU
ensembl:lncRNA